CGAACGCUGGCGGCGUGCUUAACACAUGCAAGUCGAACGGAAAGGCCCUGCUUUUGUGGGGUGCUCGAGUGGCGAACGGGUGAGUAACACGUGAGUAACCUGCCCCUGACUUUGGGAUAACUUCAGGAAACUGGGGCUAAUACCGGAUAGGAGCUCCUGCUGCAUGGUGGGGGUUGGAAAGUUUCGGCGGUUGGGGAUGGACUCGCGGCUUAUCAGCUUGUUGGUGGGGUAGUGGCUUACCAAGGCUUUGACGGGUAGCCGGCCUGAGAGGGUGACCGGCCACAUUGGGACUGAGAUACGGCCCAGACUCCUACGGGAGGCAGCAGUGGGGAAUAUUGCACAAUGGGCGGAAGCCUGAUGCAGCAACGCCGCGUGCGGGAUGACGGCCUUCGGGUUGUAAACCGCUUUCGCCUGUGACGAAGCGUGAGUGACGGUAAUGGGUAAAGAAGCACCGGCUAACUACGUG
rnacentral:rRNA from 1 species